rnacentral:rRNA from 1 species
GUGCCAGCCGCCGCGGUACGACGUAGGGGGCGAGCGUUGUCCGGAAUUACUGGGCGUAAAGCGCACGUAGGCGGGAACUUAAGUCAGGUGUGAAAGACCGGGGCUCAACUCCGGGGUUGCACUUGAAACUGGGUUUCUUGAGGGCAGGAGAGGAAAGCAGAAUUCCUGGUGUAGCGGUGAAAUGAGUAGAAAUCAGGAGGAAUACCAGUGGCGAAGGCGGCUAUCUGGACAGACACUGACGCUGAGGUGCGAAAGCGUGGG